UACGAAGGGGGCUAGCGUUGCUCGGAAUCACUGGGCGUAAAGCGCACGUAGGCGGCUUGCUAAGUCAGGGGUGAAAUCCUGGAGCUCAACUCCAGAACUGCCUUUGAUACUGGCGAUCUUGAGUCCGGGAGAGGUGGGUGGAACUGCGAGUGUAGAGGUGAAAUUCGUAGAUAUUCGCAAGAACACCAGUGGCGAAGGCGGCUCACUGGCCCGGUACUGACGCUGAGGUGCGAAAGCGUGGGGAGCAAACAGG
rnacentral:rRNA from 1 species